GACGAACGCUGGCGGCGUGCUUAACACAUGCAAGUCGAACGGAAAGGCCCUGCUUUUGUGGGGUGCUCGAGUGGCGAACGGGUGAGUAACACGUGAGUAACCUGCCCUUGACUUUGGGAUAACUUCAGGAAACUGGGGCUAAUACCGGAUAGGAGCUCCCGCUGCAUGGUGGGGGUUGGAAAGUUUCGGCGGUUGGGGAUGGACUCGCGGCUUAUCAGCUUGUUGGUGGGGUAGUGGCUUACCAAGGCUUUGACGGGUAGCCGGCCUGAGAGGGUGACCGGCCACAUUGGGACUGAGAUACGGCCCAGACUCCUACGGGAGGCAGCAGUGGGGAAUAUUGCACAAUGGGCGGAAGCCUGAUGCAGCAACGCCGCGUGCGGGAUGACGGCCUUCAGGUUGUAAACCGCUUUCGCCUGUGACGAAGCGUGAGUGACGGUAAUGGGUAAAGAAGCACCGGCUAACUACGUG
rnacentral:rRNA from 1 species